rnacentral:rRNA from 1 species
AUUGAACGCUGGCGGCAGGCCUAACACAUGCAAGUCGAACGAGUGGCGGACGGGUGAGUAAUGUCUGGGAAACUGCCUGAUGGCGGGGGAUAACUACUGGAAACGGUAGCUAAUACCGCAUACCAUCAGAUGUGCCCAGAUGGGAUGAGCGUGUUGGUGGGGUACCGGCGCACCCAGGCGACGAUCCCUAGCUGGUCUGAGAGGAUGACGAGCCACACUGGAACUGAGACACGGUCCAGACUCCUACGGGAGGCAGCAGUGGGGAAUAUGGAACAAUGGGCGCAAGCCUGAUGCAGCCAUGCCGCGUGUAUGAAGAAGGCCUUCGGGUUGUAAAGUACUUACAGCGGGGAGGCGUUACCCGCAGAAGAAGCACCGGCUAACUCCGUGCCAGCAGCCGCGGUAAUAC